rnacentral:rRNA from 1 species
UUUUACAAUGGAGAGUUUGAUCCUGGCUCAGGAUGAACGCUAGCGGCAGGCCUAAUACAUGCAAGUCGGACGGGAUUGCGGU